ACGCACCUUUCGGGGUGAGUGGCAGACGGGUGAGUAACGCGUGGGAACGUACCCUUUUCUACGGAAUAACUCAGGGAAACUUGAGCUAAUACCGUAUACGCCCUUUUGGGGAAAGAUUUAUCGGAGAAGGAUCGGCCCGCGUUGGAUUAGCUAGUUGGUGGGGUAAAGGCCUACCAAGGCGACGAUCCAUAGCUGGUCUGAGAGGAUGAUCAGCCACAUUGGGACUGAGACACGGCCCAAACUCCUACGGGAGGCAGCAGUGGGGAAUAUUGGACAAUGGGCGCAAGCCUGAUCCAGCCAUGCCGCGUGAGUGAUGAAGGCCCUAGGGUUGUAAAGCUCUUUCACCGGUGAAGAUAAUGACGGUAACCGGAGAAGAAGCCCCGGCUAACUUCGUGCCAGCAGCCGCGGUAAUACGAAGGGGGCUAGCGUUGUUCGGAAUUACUGGGCGUAAAGCGCACGUAGGCGGACAUUUAAGUCAGGGGUGAAAUCCCGGGGCUCAACCCCGGAACUGCCUUUGAUACUGGGUGUCUGGAGUAUGGAAGAGGUAAGUGGAAUUCCGAGUGUAGAGGUGAAAUUCGUAGAUAUUCGGAGGAACACCAGUGGCGAAGGCGGCUUACUGGUCCAUACUGA
rnacentral:rRNA from 1 species